UGCAUUUGAUACUGCUAAUGCUUGAGUGCGAGAGAGGCUACUAGAAUUCCUGGUGUAGUGGUGAAAUACGUAGAUAUCAGGAGGAAUACCGGAGGCGAAGGCGGGUAGCUGGCUCGACACUGACACUGAGAUCCGAAAGCGUGGGGAUCAAACAGGAUUAGAUACCCUGGUAGUCCACGCUGUAAACGAUGGGUACUUGUCGUUGGAGGUUUUGACCCCUUCAGUGACGAAGCUAACGCAUUAAGUACCCCGCCUGGGGAGUACGGUCGCAAGAUUAAAACUCAAAGAAAUUGACGGGGGCCCGCACAAGCGGUGGAGUAUGUGGUUUAAUUCGAUGCAACGCGAAGAACCUUACCUGGGUUUGACAUGGACUGGAAGGGUGGCAGAGAUGUCCCCGCCCGCAAGGGCCGGUUCACAGGUGCUGCAUGGCUGUCGUCAGCUCGUGUCGUGAGAUGUUGGGUUAAGUCCCGCAACGAGCGCAACCCUUGCCUUUAGUUGCCAGCAUUCAGUUGGGCACUCUAAAGGGACUGCCGACGUUAAGUCGGAGGAAGGUGGGGAUGACGUCAAGUCCUCAUGGCCCUUAUAUCCAGGGCUACACACGUACUACAAUGGUGGUUACAGAGGGCAGCGAAGCUGCAAAGUGAAGCUAAUCCCAAAAAAGCCAUCUAAGUUCAGAUUGGAGUCUGCAACUCGACUCCAUGAAGGCGGAAUCGCUAGUAAUCGCGGAUCAGAAUGCCGCGGUGAAUACGUUCCCGGGCCUUGUACA
rnacentral:rRNA from 1 species